CCUACGGGAGGCAGCAGUGAGGAAUAUUGGUCAAUGGACGAGAGUCUGAACCAGCCAAGUAGCGUGAAGGAUGACUGCCCUAUGGGUUGUAAACUUCUUUUAUAAAGGAAUAAAACGAGGCACGUGUGCCUUUUUGCAUGUACUUUAUGAAUAAGGAUCGGGUAACUCCGUGCCAGCCGCCGCGGUCAUACGGAGGAUCCGAGCGUUAUCCGGAUGUAUUGGGUUUAAGGGGAGCGUAGAUGGGUUGUUAAGGCAGUUGUGAAAGUUUGCGGCUGAACCGUAAAAUUGAAAUUGAUACUGGCAGUCUUGAGUACAGUUGAGGUAAGCGGAAGGAGUGGUGUAGCGGGGAAAUGCUUAGAUAUCACGAAGAACCCCGAUUGCGAAGGCAGCUUACUAAACUGUGACUGACAUUGAGGCUCGAAAGUGUGGGUAUAAAACAGGAUUAGAGACCCUAGUAGUC
rnacentral:rRNA from 1 species